ACCCGGGAGGGUGGAGUGGGUGGCUGGGUGCACAGAGGGGGGAUCGGUGAGCGCAGGGGCGCUAGCUGAGGGUUCCAAGAGCGCUGAGGCGGCGGGAAGGGAGAAAGAGCGAGGGGGGUUGAUGACUGGUCCUGAGAGAGGGGACCGGCCCUGAGGGGUGGUGGGUCCUGGAGCGCGGGUGGGGUACCGUCCCGAGGAGGAGGACGGGCCCGAGGGGCACAGGUCCCGAGGGGGACGGGUCCUGGGAGGAUAGAUCUAGGGUGCUGAGCGUCAGCUCCUGGGGUGGGUUUGCGUCCUGGGGACCCUGGACCUGAGAGGGAGAGGGGUGUGAGCAGAGUUUUGGGGGGCAGCUGGGGUUCUUACGGAGGAGGGAUGGGCGAGGGUUGGGGACGUCGGAGAAGGCCCUGAGAGGAUGGACAGACUUUGAGGCAGGAAGGAAGCCCCUGGUUUGGGGGAAGCGCAGGGGCAGGGAGGUGGGGAGCAGGGGUGGUGAGAGGCCCUUCCGGAAAGAGGAAGUGGGCUGUCCCCGUCUCAGGAAGCUUCCCGCAGCCUGCAGCCCCCAAGAGAGGACAGAGAGGGCAGCAGGCAGUGGGGGCUGGGGACCAGAACGGCCUUGGGUGAGGGAGGAGUGGGGGAAGGGGCCAGGCGGAAAGAGCAACGGAGCCCCCCACCCCCGGGAGCCUGAGGCCUGGAAGUCCUAAUCCCAACCUGGCUCUUCGCGCCGCCUGCCACGUUCAUGGGGCCAGGCCUGAACCUCUUGGCUCCUGUUUUUUCCCUGUGAGGUUCCUGCGGCCACAGCCAUGAUGUCAUCAAUGUCAUCGCGGGCUGUUCCAAUUACCCACAGCCAGCGAGUGAGCGUCCCCGCCGCCCCUCCCCCAGCCCCAGGCAGGGCUGCUGGGGCAGGUUGGUGGCCACUGCCUUUAGGGUCCACAAGACGCUAGCCGCAGCAUCGAGCUCCCCACCCGGACCCACAGAGGUACUGGGGUCGCCCUCAGUUCCUUCCACCGGGCUCACUCCGUUUCAGCCCGUUCUCCUCUUCAGCUCUCAGAGAAUGUCAUUUUUACCGGGAAGAUGGAAGCCACGGUUCUGGAGCUUCCUCAGCCUCCUGCCCUCCUCCCCUCUGGGAAGUGUCCCUGUUCUCUUCCGCACCUUCCAGCGUCUUUCUGGGCUUCUUCCCGCCUCAAGUUUCCCGGGCGUUGAGGAGGGCUGGCCGCCGCCUCGCCAAGCCCCGAGCUGAACCCGCUGAUGCCCAGGCCACCCGCUUGUGUCUUGAUCGCCGACUUGAGCUCGUGAUUCUCCCGAAGGAGCCGUACCAGCUUCUUCAGCUCCUCAUUCUCCCUCACCAGCCUCUCGAUCUGAUGCCGAAGCCCCUCGUAAUUGGUGCCUGUUCUGUCCAGCUUCCUGCCGCCCCAGCAAGCUCAGCCCUGCUCUCUAGGCUUCCCUGAGGCCAUGUCUCUACUGUGGCACUUGCCCGGCUCUGUGCUGGUAGCUGCUGGCUCCGUUUGCCUCACUUCACGGUGAGGCUGGGGGUUGGGCACUUCCCCAGCAGCCCGCAAAGGGCCCAGGGGCACAACAGGUAGGUGACCAGUGAGUAGCUGUUGAAUGAAAGCUCAUCGCGCACCUUCCUGGCCAGGGGGCCCUUUCCUUGGGAGGUUGGGCACACCUGGAUUUAGCCUGUCAGUCUUCUCCUGGGGACAUUCUACCUUCCAUACCUGGACGCUGGCCCCACUUUCUUCCAACCCGGGUGCUCAAAGCCUUUCUCUGACUGCCGGCCCAGGAGCUCCCUGGUCCAAGCACCUGGCUCUCUAUAGCUUGGACUUUCCAUUUCUGGCGACUCAGGCUCCCCUAUUCCAAGUCCCCCAUGGCAGCCCUCUGUGCCCACACCUCUGUUCUCUGACUCCUUGAAUUUUCGUGCCUGUGGUCCUUCAAGAACCCAAGACAUGCCCCUCGUCAGGUUGUCAGGUUCCGAGAAUUCAGACCUAUGAGUCCUCACCACGCUCUCUUUUUAAAAAGCUAUCUACACAGCAAUCCUGGGGGGCCUGACCUUGGGAGUUAAGCGAGGCGGUGUCCCAGGGGUCUCCACUGGCUCUGUAGCCAUCUGUGCUCAGGCGGAGGGGACAGCGAAGCCCAGGUCUAAGCCUGAGGGCGUGCUCCUGGUGGGCAGGUGGGGCGAGGAUGGGCUUGGAGGCAGCCUGAGUUGAACAUUCUACCUGGACCUCACAGUGGGGGCCUGCCCCCACCCUCCUCCGACACCCUACGCUGUGAUCCUGGCUGAGUCGCCCUGGCCCUGGAGGCCUGGCCGGACGUCUCUUCACCACCCUCUGCUGUUUGUAGGACAUCCCAUCCUCUGGCGUGGGAAAACGAGCCUCUCUCGGCCUUCCGGGUCGCCUGUACCAUCCAGCCUGGCUUCACUGUUGGCCUCUCCUGGGGUUGAUGCAUCUGGGCUGGUUAAAUUGAUGGCUCAGCGUGGCUGGGUGCCCACGUGCUUGGUCAAACCUUGGUUCAGACAUUGCUGUGAAAGUGUUUUGUAGUGUGAUUAACAUCCACAGUCGUUGAUUUUAAGUCAAGGAGGUCACCUUCAAUCGUGUGGGCAGACCUCAUCUAAUCAGCUGAAGGCCUUAAGAGCAGAAAGCUGGGGUUUUCCAGGAAAAGAGCAUGUUGGCCUCAGUGCUGUCCCGGAGGCCCUGCCUCAGUGUCCAGGCCACUGGCCUGCAGGUAUGGACAAUUGUAUGAACCAGUUCCUGAAAAUAAAUAUCUUCAUACCCGAGAAAUCUGACUGACGUGCCAUCUAUAUCGGGUACCAGCGCUUCCGUCCUCUCCCAAAACUGUGUUCGGAGCCCCGGCUAGUGGCAGGUCCUGUGCUGGAAUCACAAUAUGGUA